rnacentral:piRNA from 1 species
GUGAUGCUGCAUGCUUCUGUCCCCAAAGA